UCUUUGACCGCCGCGAUAUCCCCCGCAAUAUUUU
rnacentral:sRNA from 1 species